rnacentral:rRNA from 1 species
GAUGGACGCUGGCGGCGUGCCUAAUACAUGCAAGUCGAGCGAACAGAUGAGGAGCUUGCUCCUCUGACGUUAGCGGCGGACGGGUGAGUAACACGUGGAUAACCUACCUAUAAGACUGGGAUAACUUCGGGAAACCGGAGCUAAUACCGGAUAAUAUAUUGAACCGCAUGGUUCAAUAGUGAAAGACGGUUUUGCUGUCACUUAUAGAUGGAUCCGCGCCGCAUUAGCUAGUUGGUAAGGUAACGGCUUACCAAGGCAACGAUGCGUAGCCGACCUGAGAGGGUGAUCGGCCACACUGGAACUGAGACACGGUCCAGACUCCUACGGGAGGCAGCAGUAGGGAAUCUUCCGCAAUGGGCGAAAGCCUGACGGAGCAACGCCGCGUGAGUGAUGAAGGUCUUCGGAUCGCAAAACUCUGUUAUUAGGGAAGAACAAAUGUGUAAGUAACUAUGCACGUCUUGACGGUACCUAAUCAGAAAGCCACGGCUAACUACGUG